CCCACCCUAACCAUAAUUGGGAUACGAUUCUUCCCCAGUCCUCCAUUAUAGUGUUCUGAGCUGAGGAAGGUGGUGGGUGGUUCAGUUGAAGGCUACCAUUGUCGAGGGAAGAUAUUCGAGGAGGCGGCGUAGACGAGGCGGCGCAACCAGGGGAGUGUCGCUCUGUGACAAGGUCUUCCACUACCGCUUCAGAGGCUAUUGAAGGGGCUACCGUCGAGAGAUUAAUUGAUGGUUUCUUCAUUCUCAAACAAAGAAUGUGACAAUCCUUAGUGAAGUGGAGAGUUGGACCAGAGGAAGAAGAGCUUGAGUUACUCUCUCUGCACCAAAGAAAUAUGUUUCAACACAUUCUUUAGGUGAGUUUUUAAAGCAAUUGUGGUCAGAAGGGGAGGAAGAGAGUCUACAAAGAAGACUUGAGCAGGAAAGGAUAACAAAGGCGAAGAACAUGGCC
rnacentral:sRNA from 1 species